GCUGAGAGCCGAGAUUGACAAUGUCAAGAAACAGUGCGCCAAUCUGCAGAACGCCAUUGCGGAUGCCGAGCAGCGUGGGGAGCUGGCCCUCAAGGAUGCCAGGAACAAGCUGGCCGAGCUGGAGGAGGCCCUGCAGAAGGCCAAGCAGGACAUGGCCCGGCUGCUGCGUGAGUACCAGGAGCUCAUGAACACCAAGCUGGCCCUGGACGUGGAGAUCGCCACUUACCGCAAGCUGCUGGAGGGCGAGGAAUGCAGACUCAGUGGAGAAGGAGUUGGACCAGUCAACAUCUCUGUUGUCACAAGCAGUGUUUCCUCUGGAUAUGGCAGUGGCAGUGGCUAUGGCGGUGGCCUCGGUGGAGGUCUUGGCGGCGGCCUCGGUGGAGGUCUUGCCGGAGCAGCUCCAGCGUCAAAUUUGUCUCCACCACCUCCUCCUCCCGGAAGAGCUUCAAGAGCUAAGAACCUGCUGCAAGUCACUGCCUUCCAAGUGCAGCAACCCAGCCCAUGGAGAUUGCCUCUUCUAGGCAGUUGCUCAAGCCAUGUUUUAUCCUUUUCUGGAGAGUAGUCUAGACCAAGCCAAUUGCAGAACCACAUUCUUUGGUUCCCAGGAGAGCCCCAUUCCCAGCCCCUGGUCUCCCGUGCCGCAGUUCUAUAUUCUGCUUCAAAUCAGCCUUCAGGUUUCCCACAGCAUGGCCCCUGCUGACACGAGAACCCAAAGUUUUCCCAAAUCUAAAUCAUCAAAACAGAAUCCCCACCCCAAUCCCAAAUUUUGUUUUGGUUCUAACUACCUCCAGAAUGUGUUCAAUAAAAUGCUUUUAUAAUAU
rnacentral:lncRNA from 1 species